AGCGAACACUGGCGGCAGGCCUAACGCAUGCAAGUCGAACGGAUCCUUCGGGAUUAGUGGCGGACGGGUGAGUAACACGUGGGAACGUGCCCUUUGGUUCGGAACAACUCAGGGAAACUUGAGCUAAUACCGGAUGUGCCCUUCGGGGGAAAGAUUUAUCGCCAUUGGAGCGGCCCGCGUCUGAUUAGCUAGUUGGUGAGGUAAAGGCUCACCAAGGCGACGAUCAGUAGCUGGUCUGAGAGGAUGAUCAGCCACAUUGGGACUGAGACACGGCCCAAACUCCUACGGGAGGCAGCAGUGGGGAAUCUUGCGCAAUGGGCGAAAGCCUGACGCAGCCAUGCCGCGUGAAUGAUGAAGGUCUUAGGAUUGUAAAAUUCUUUCACCGGGGACGAUAAUGACGGUACCCGGAGAAGAAGCCCCGGCUAACUUCGUGCCAGCCGCCGCCGUAAUAC
rnacentral:rRNA from 1 species